CAGCGGUGGCACAGGGGAAUUAUCAACGCCUGGUGGACUUGAAACAGCCAGAUGUUCACCUCCCAAGUGUCUUUGAUCCAGCUUUGAUGGCAGAACUAAAUGCAGACUCUAAAAGAGUGCUGGGACAUGUGAAGUAUGCUGCUUUUCAUUUCACUGGCACAGACACUGGAGAGAAGUUUGGCUUGGAAUAUGUUGAGCCUGGUUGUCAGUUCCUCUAGACUGGGAUAAGCACAGGAGCAAGACAGACUUAACACGUGCCCUGAAUCCCCCUCCUCAAAGCAGCCCACCCACUGCCCAGACUGAUGUUCCACAGUCAUCCUCCAAUUUACUACCCAAGCUGUUUCAGUUUGCUGCAUGCCCUCCUGCUGAUGUGCAACCAGAUGACACUAAGCACAAGCCGCAGACAGAGCCAGAAACCAGAAGUCUGUUGUCUCUCCCCUUCCUUUCCUCACCAACUGGUGCUCGCACUGGACCGGUGAAGACAGGUGGGAGGGUAUUUGUGUU